GAGAAAACCAAGGCACAGAGGUGUUAUGUGAUCACACAGCUACUCAGCAUGACAGAGACUCCAUUCCAGGUGGAAAAAGCACAUGGCUCUUUCUUCUCCGAGAUCCCAGGACUAUCUUAUUUUCCUCAGAGGGGCAGGUUACAAGAACUUCACAUCUCUCAGGCUACAUGUUGCAAAGGUUAAAUUCCAGGUGAGUGCAGCCAAGAAGCUGGGGGUU
rnacentral:lncRNA from 1 species